rnacentral:rRNA from 1 species
GCCAGUAGCCAUAUCACCCUGCAACUCACAGCUGGCAGCACCACUGAAGCUCAGCAGGUGUGAGCCUGGUCAGUACGUGGAUGGGAGACCAACUGGGAAAAACUAAGGUUGCUGCUGGAA